rnacentral:sRNA from 1 species
UAGAUAACCGAAGAUGCUAUUUAUAGCUA